ACCUAGUCCCACCACACCCCCAAGGGUAUUCAGCAGUGAUAGAUAUUGUCUAUAAGCGCUAGCUUGACCCAGUUAUAGAGAAGAGAGCCGGCCAACUUGGUGCCAGCCGCCGCGGCUAGACCAACUGGACUCAAAUUGAUAAUCCCCGGCGUUAAGCGUGAUUAAAGCCAUGAACAAAUUAGAGUUAAACCUACGUUGAGCAGUGAAAAGCACACGAUAGGGAAAUCCAAAAACGAAAGUUAUUCUAAUACUUGCUUGAAUACACGACAGCUAGGACACAAACUGGGAUUAGAUACCCCACUAUGCCUAGCCGUAAACUAUUAACCUACACCCACCCGCGCCAGGGAACUACGAGCUUUAGCUUAAAACCCAAAGGACUUGACGGUGUCCCACCCAACUAGAGGAGCCUGUUCUAUAAUCGAUGACCCCCGCUCCACCCAACCCCCCCUUGCUUUAUCAGCCUGUAUACCUCCGUCGUAAACCCGCCGUAUGAAUGUACCCAAGCGGAUUUAAUGGUCCCACACCAACACGUCAGGUCAAGGUGCAGCCAAUGGGAGAGGUAAGUGAUGGGCUACAAUUUCUAGUCUAGAACAAACGAAAUUCUGCAUGAAACACAGUUAUGAAGGAGGAUUUAGUAGUAAAAAGAAAGUAGCGUGUUCUUUUUAACAUGGCCCUGGGACGUGUACACA
rnacentral:rRNA from 1 species